rnacentral:tRNA from 1 species
ACUUGGCUGGCUCAGUCGGGAGGAGCAUGUGACUCUUGAUCUCAGGGUCAUGGGUUCAAGCCCCACGUUGUGUG